rnacentral:rRNA from 1 species
UACGGAGGUGGCAAGCGUUGUUCGGAAUUACUGGGCGUAAAGGGCGCGUAGGCGGCUUUACAAGUCAGAUGUGAAAGCCCCGGGCUUAACUCGGGAAUUGCAUCUGAAACUGUAGAGCUUGAGUUCUGGAGGGGAUGGUGGAAUUCCCAGUGUAGCGGUGAAAUGCGUAGAUAUUGGGAGGAACACCUGCGGCGAAGGCGGCCAUCUGGACAGUAACUGACGCUGAGGCGCGAAAGCUAGGGUAGCAAACGGG